UGAACCACUCAGGCGCCCCAUGAGACUCCGUGUUUUAUGUCUGUUGAUGUAGGUAUUACAAGAAUGUAUUAAUUUGUAUAUUGGACGCAGAAAAGCGGUGGUGUCUGUCCAGCUGCAGAGAGACGUGGCAACUGUUGGAGAGUCCGGAGACAGAACAGAGAUCCCAGGAACCCUGAAGGGGAUUCUGGGAGCCACAGCUACUGAGAGCUGCAGGUGCUGUAACUGAAGCUACCGCUACUGGUCAGGCUGCCACCAGAAGAGCUGUCUCAGAAAGAAGGCGAAAACCACCGAGGGCCAGGGGAGAAACUGCUGAGAUGCUUUCCCUGGGACAGCCUUGCCAAGAGCCACCAUGGGUCCCACAUCGGGAGCCACACACCCAGUGACAGAAAGGGGACACCUGACGACAGGCGCGCAAACAGGAGACACCGUGUGAAGAUAGAGGCAGAGAUCGGGGUGAUGGUUCGACAAGACAAAGAAUGCCAGACACUGCAGCAAACCACCAGAAGUUAGAGGAGAGGCCGGGAACAGAUUCUCCCUCAAAUCCCUCAGAAGGAGCCAACCCUGCCAACCCCUCCAUCUUGGACUUUGACCCCCAGGACUCAGAGACAAUAAAUUUCUGUUGUUCAAACCA